CGUAUUCUUGUCUUCUUCGAGUUUUUUGGAAGCUAUUCAAUAGAUUUAGUUUUCGAUAACAUAAAUGUUUCUUUCAUGACCAGGGAAGAUAGAAAUGAAAGCGUGUCUGGUCUUUCUUCUUCUUGACAUUGAAACUAAUUGGGUUCUUAUUGAAUUCCGAGUCAUUGAAAAUCAAUAGAAUACUACAUACACAUAUAUUUAUGAACACGGUGCAUCUUCUUCUUCUUCUCCUCCUCUUGUUAUAUGAUCCACUAUCGUCUCCUGACCACGUCAUCGUCGGUUUUUCCGUUACGCAUAUGCAGUUUCCCAUUUGUUGUGUUUAUUUGAUGAUUGAGUUUGUUAAGAUAAGUAUUUAUAGCGUAAAUGUUUCAUCAUUCGUUGUAAUUAGUUGACGAAAGCCUGUUUCAUCCUCAUCCACUUCUUGUAACUGAUUGACUUCCAAAACAGAACACAAAAAAAACAUUGCAACAGGCUAAUCAACCCCUCUCUUAUGUGCGUUUCAAGUAUGUUUUCUUUCCUAGAAUCAUGAAUCUUGUCUCAAGUUUUGCUUUGCAAUCUCCUAUUUUGUCUGAUUUAUUUUUUGAUAUAAA